GAUGAACGCUGGCGGCGUGCCUAAUACAUGCAAGUCGAGCGAACAGACGAGGAGCUUGCUCCUCUGACGUUAGCGGCGGACGGGUGAGUAACACGUGGAUAACCUACCUAUAAGACUGGGAUAACUUCGGGAAACCGGAGCUAAUACCGGAUAAUAUAUUGAACCGCAUGGUUCAAUAGUGAAAGACGGUUUUGCUGUCACUUAUAGAUGGAUCCGCGCCGCAUUAGCUAGUUGGUAAGGUAACGGCUUACCAAGGCAACGAUGCGUAGCCGACCUGAGAGGGAGAUCGGCCACACUGGAACUGAGACACGGUCCAGACUCCUACGGGAGGCCGCAGUAGGGAAUCUUACGCAAUGGGCGAAAGCUUGACGGAGCAACGCCGCGUGAGUGAUGAAGGUCUUCGGAUCGUAAAACUCUGUUAUUAGGGAAGAACAAAUGUGUAAGUAACUAUGCACGUCUUGACGGUACCUAAUCAGAAAGCCACGGCUAACUACGUG
rnacentral:rRNA from 1 species